rnacentral:rRNA from 1 species
UAGAGUUUGAUCCUGGCUCAGAACGAACGCUGGCGGCAGGCUUAACACAUGCAAGUCGAACGCCCCGCAAGGGGAGUGGCAGACGGGUGAGUAACGCGUGGGAACAUACCCUUUCCUGCGGAAUAGCUCCGGGAAACUGGAAUUAAUACCGCAUACGCCCUACGGGGGAAAGAUUUAUCGGGGAAGGAUUGGCCCGCGUUGGAUUAGCUAGUUGGUGGGGUAAAGGCCUACCAAGGCGACGAUCCAUAGCUGGUCUGAGAGGAUGAUCAGCCACAUUGGGACUGAGACACGGCCCAAACUCCUACGGGAGGCAGCAGUGGGGAAUAUUGGACAAUGGGCGCAAGCCUGAUCCAGCCAUGCCGCGUGAGUGAUGAAGGCCUUAGGGUUGUAAAGCUCUUUCACCGAUGAAGAUAAUGACGGUAGUCGGAGAAGAAGCCCCGGCUAACUUCGUGCCAGCAGCCGCGGUAAUACGAAGGGGGCUAGCGUUGUUCGGAAUUACUGGGCGUAAAGCGCACGUAGGCGGAUAUUUAAGUCAGGGGUGAAAUCCCGCAGCUCAACUGCGGAACUGCCUUUCUUGAGUAUGGAAGAGGUAAGUGGAAGGAGAAAUCGAUAUUCGGAGGAACACCAGUGCAAGGCGGCUUACGGUCCAUUAGCUAA